rfam:Ciona savignyi cont_37335, whole genome shotgun sequence.
GCUUAUCACCAUUCCAGAUUGAAUAUACCCGAUCUCGUCUGAUCUCGGAAGUCAAGCAAUCUCGGGCUUGGUUAGUACU